UUCGGGGGACAGAGUGACAGGUGGUGCAUGGUUGUCGUCAGCUCGUGUCGUGAGAUGUUGGGUUAAGUCCCGCAACGAGCGCAACCCUUGAUCUUAGUUGCCAGCAUUCAGUUGGGCACUCUAAGGUGACUGCCGGUGACAAACCGGAGGAAGGUGGGGAUGACGUCAAAUCAUCAUGCCCCUUAUGACCUGGGCUACACACGUGCUACAAUGGAUGGUACAAAGGGCUGCAAACCUGCGAAGGUAAGCGAAUCCCAUAAAGCCAUUCUCAGUUCGGAUUGCAGGCUGCAACUCGCCUGCAUGAAGCCGGAAUCGCUAGUAAUCGCGGAUCAGCAUGCCGCGGUGAAUACGUUCCCGGGCCUUGUACACACCGCCCGUCACACCACGAGAGUUUGUAACACCCGAAGUCGGUGAGGUAACCUUCAUGGAGCCAGCCGCCUAAGGUGGGACAGAUGAUUGGGGUGAAGUCGUAACAAGGUAGCCGUAUCGGAAGGUGCGG
rnacentral:rRNA from 1 species